rnacentral:rRNA from 1 species
GACGAACGCUGGCGGCGUGCUUAACACAUGCAAGUCGAACGGAAAGGCCCUGCUUUUGUUGCGUGCUCGAGUGGCGCACGGGUGAGUAACACGUGAGUAACCUCCCCCUGUCUUUGGGAUAUCUUCAGGAAACUCGGGCUCAUACCGGAUAGGAGCUCUUGCUCCUUGGUGGGGGUUGGAAAGUUUCGGCGGUUGGGGCUGGACUCGCGGCUUAUCCGCUUGUUGGUGGGGUAGGGGCUUACCAAGGGUUUGAAGGGUAGCCGGCCUGGGAGGGGGACCGGCGACAUGGGGACUGAGAUACGGCCCAGACGCCAACGGGAGGCAACGGUGGGGAAUAUGGCGCAAUGGGCGGAAGCCUGAGGCAGCAACGCCGGGUGCGGGAUGCCGGCUUUCGGGUGGUAAACCGCUUUGGCCGGUGACGAAGCGUUAGUGACGGUAACGGGUAAAGAAGCACCGGCUAACUACGUG